rnacentral:rRNA from 1 species
GAUGAACGCUGGCGGCGUGCCUAAUACAUGCAAGUCGAGCGAACAGACGAGGAGCUUGCUCCUCUGACGUUAGCGGCGGACGGGUGAGUAACACGUGGAUAACCUACCUAUAAGACUGGGAUAACUUCGGGAAACCGGAGCUAAUACCGGAUAAUAUAUUGAACCGCAUGGUUCAAUAGUGAAAGACGGUUUUGCUGUCACUUAUAGAUGGAUCCGCGCCGCAUUAGCUAGUUGGUAAGGUAACGGCUUACCAAGGCAACGAUGCGUAGCCGACCUGAGAGGGUGAGGGGCCGCAGUGGAACAGAGACACGGUCCAGACUCAUGGGGGGGGAGAAAGUAGGGAGUCUUCCGCAAUGGGCGAAAGUUUGACGAAGCAACGCCGCGGGAGUAAUGAAGGUCUUCGGAUCGAAAAACUCUGUUAUUGGGAAAAAACAAAUUUGUAAGUAACUAUGCACGUCUUGACGGUACCUAAUAAGAAAGCCCCGGCUAACUACGUG